AUUGAACGCUGGCGGCAGGCCUAACACAUGCAAGUCGAGCGAGAGGCGGACGGGUGAGUAAUGUAUGGGGACUGCCCGAUAGAGGGGGAUAACUACUGGAAAAGGUGGCUAAUACCGCAUAUUGCCGGAUAACCCAUAUGGGAUUAGCUAGUAGGUAAGGUAAUGGCUUACCUAGGCGACGAUCCCUAGCUGGUCUGAGAGGGUGAUCAGCCACACUGGAACUGAGACACGGCCCAGACUCCUACGGAGUCAGCAGUGGGGAAUAUUGCACAAUGGGCGCAAGCCUGAUGCAGCCAUGCCGCGUGUAUGAAGAAGGCCCUAGGGUUGUAAAGUACUUUCAGUCGGGAGGCGUUACCGGCAGAAGAAGCACCGGCUAACUCCGUGCCAGCCGCCGCGGUAAUUC
rnacentral:rRNA from 1 species